rnacentral:rRNA from 1 species
AUUCCCCUAGUAACUGCGAGUGAAGCGGGAAAAGCUCAAAUUUUAAAUCUGGCGGUCUCAGGCCGUCCGAGUUGUAAUCUAGAGAAGUGAUGCCCGCGCUGGACCGUGUACAAGUCUCCUGGGAUGGAGCGUCAUAGAGGGUGAGAAUCCCGUCUCUGACACGGACUACCAGGGCUUUGUGGUACGCUCUCAAAGAGUCGAGUUGUUUGGGAAUGCAGCUCAAAAUGGGUGGUAAAUUCCAUCUAAAGCUAAAUAUUGGCGAGAGACCGAUAGCGAACAAGUACCGUGAGGGAAAGAUGAAAAGAACUUUGGAAAGAGAGUUAAACAGUACGUGAAAUUGCUGAAAGGGAAACGCUUGAAGUCAGUCGCGUUGGCCGGGAAUCAGCCUCGCUUUUGCGUGGUGUACUUUCCGGUUGACGGGUCAGCAUCAAUUUUGAUCGCUGGAAAAAGGCUUGGGGAAUGUGGCAGCUUCUGCUGUGUUAUAGCCCCAUGUCACAUACGGCGAUUGGGAUUGAGGAACUCAGCACGCCGAAAGGCCGGGUUUCGACCACGUUCGUGCUUAGGAUGCUGGCAUAAUGGCUUUAAGCGACCCGUCUUGAAACACGGACCAAGGAGUCUAACAUGCCUGCGAGUGUUUGGGUGGAAAACCCGAGCGCGUAAUGAAAGUGAAAGUUGAGAUCCCUGUCGUGGGGAGCAUCGACGCCCGGACCAGAACUUUUGGGACGGAUCCGCGGUAGAGCAUGUAUGUUGGGACCCGAAAGAUGGUGAACUAUGCCUGAUAGGGUGAAGCCAGAGGAAACUCUGGUGGAGGCUCGUAGCGAUUCUGACGUGCAAAUCGAUCGUC